AGCGAACGUUUGCGGCGGGCCUAACACAUGCAAGUCGAACGCACUAGCAAUAGUGAGUGGCGCACGGGUGCGUAACACGUGGGUAAUCAACCCUUCAGCUUGGGAUAACGACUUGAAAGGGUCGCUAAUACCGGAUACGGCGCGGGAGGCUUCGGCUUCUCACGAGAAAGCCUCGCAAGGGGCACUGAAGGACGAGCCUGCGGCCCAUCAGCUAGUUGGUGAGGUAAGAGCUCACCAAGGCGAAGACGGGUAGCUGGUCUGAGAGGAUGAUCAGCCACACUGGAACUGAGACACGGUCCAGACUCCUACGGGAGGCAGCAGUGGGGAAUAUUGCGCAAUGGGCGAAAGCCUGACGCAGCCACGCCGCGUGAGCGAUGAAGGCCUUCGGGUCGGUAAA
rnacentral:rRNA from 1 species